GACAGAGGGUGCAAGCGUUGUUCGGAAUCAUUGGGCGUAAAGGGCGCGUAGGCGGCUUUGUAAGUCGGAUGUGAAAUCCCAGGGCUCAACCGUGGAAGUGCAUCCGAAACUACUUAGCUCGAGUCCCGGAGAGGGUGGUGGAAUUCCCAGUGUAGAGGUGAAAUUCGUAGAUAUCAAGCGGAACACCGGUGGCGAAGGCGGCCUUCUGGACAGUGACUGACGCUGAGACGCGAAAGCGUGGGGAGCAAACAGG
rnacentral:rRNA from 1 species